rnacentral:lncRNA from 1 species
CAGGAGUCCACGAGGAUAAACCACCAAUGUGGGAGGGGGGACCCUGAAUGAGGACACCGUCCAGAGAGUACGAUGGGACCUACACACCCAACACCGGUGGAGGAGGGACGUGGGUGCCCGACAAGCACCCGGGUGAGGUCCGGGAAAUGUGAACUGGAGGGAUGACUCGCUGUGGGAGGCGCUGGGCAGAGCCAGCAAAGGAGAGGAGGGCUGGGUCCACACGGAGGGCACGUCCAGGGUGGGGACCCCAAAUCUGGGCAUCGGUGUUCACGAAGACGCCCCUGGGGCGGAAAGAGAGGACAAGGAGCAUGGAGAGUCGGGGAGACGGACCGAGGGACAAGCACACAGUCCAAGGGGGUGGACGUGACGAAGGCCCUCGCUGCUGAGAAUGGAACAUUGGAUUCCAGAGGACCGGAGAGCAACCCAAGUCCCGUCAGCAGGAGACGAGGACCGGAAGAGCUGGAUGAGGACCAAGAGACAGGAGGCGGGGCCUGGACCUGGGCUCCCCAGAGAGGCAGAAAUGGCCCAGCCUUCCCCAAUGGCUGCAGGUGACACGAUGCGUUGGGAGAGAGCAAGAACGUGAAGCCAGCGUCCCGGCCCAGGUUCUGGCACUUGUAAACUGCGAUCUUCAGAAAGACAGACAUCAGGUCAAUUUAUAGAGUCGGAGCCUCAAAAAUGUUUCGCAAUCCACAUGGGCAGCCUCGUUUUCGAAGCAGAAGUUUAGUAAUUUCCUGCAUCUGCAGACACGUUCAAACUAUCCUGGACGGCUGAGGUACAACACCGAAAAAAGAAGCGUCAAAAGAGAACGUCAGGCCCUGGAACCUGAAAGGUUAAUCACACCGUACUCAGAAAAUCAGACCGUCGCCCUAUGCUCCUCUCAACUAACAUUCAUUCAUUAUAAAACGAAGGUAAGCACUGAAGUGUACACUUAAAAAUCGUCAAAAUGGCAAAUUUUACAUUAUAUAUAUUUU